GUUGUUUAUAUUUUCUUCAAAUAAAAUUUUGAAAACAUAUAUGCUUAACAGAAAGAAACAUCAUGUGUUUUUCCAGCAAGUCCAAAAUGUUGUGAACAAGUUUCUUGAUGACUACUGCUAAAAAAACCCAGCUGGUGUCAAUAUCUUUUUGAAAUCUGUGUGAUAAGGAACAUUUAGCAGGACGAUAUUGAUAUAAUUAUUAAAUAUAUAUAUUUAUAUAUAUCUUAUCUUAUUAGUUUUAAAAAAAAUAAUUGUAUUUUUCACUAUUUUUCUGUCCCUUUCGCUCCCCAAGCCCAAAACCGGAAGUACUUGUGAGGGAGUUCUCUUGCUUCUCCUCGCCGGCUUCCGUUCUGCGUCUGUUUGUAAACAUGCGUCAGCAGCACGUGAUCCCGCGGACGUAUUUGUAAGAGUGGCCCAAUCAGAAAACGGGGGUGUGUGUCGGUGGGCGUGGCCGGUGAGUGUUGCUGUGAAAAUGUCGAUGGACAGAGGUUUUCGUGAGGGCAGGGGACCACUCCGGAUCCCGGGGCUGCGAGGCGGGGCAGGAGGAGAGCGGAGGGAGCCGCAGGUGUCACGGCGGAGCCGCAGUGAGCUCACAGCUUAAAGAGAACCAAGCUGGUUCCUCUUGCUCUGUACCUAACUCUGUCCUCCCCAGCAGCACUGCUGUCCCGUCAACACGGAAACAAGAGGAUCAUCUGAUCAAGGUGCGUGAGCGAUCAGAUAAACUGGAACCCAAAUUCUUCAUAUAAACACAGCUAACAAACCGACUCUGUCUAAGAAGUUCUUUUGCAGACUUUUCACUACAAUCUGUUUUAACCAGAUGAUGUUUUGCUUUAUUUCCUUUAGGUCAGAGAAGAAGAAGAGUGCGGGAGGAGGAGGGGGGGUAUUUUAUUGCGUGGAAAUUGCGGUAAAACGCGGCAGCAGGAAGGAAAAGAUAAACAUUUUCCUUCUUGGGUUGAGGUGAGGUGGUGUUGUGUAUGUCAGGGGGUGGGAUCAUCUUCAUCGGGCUCCGUUGAAAAAAGAUAAAAUAAAAAAA